GGCCCAGACUCCUACGGGAGGCAGCAGUGGGGAAUAUUGGGCAAUGGACGCAAGUCUGACCCAGCAACGCCGCGUGAAGGAAGAAGGCUUUCGGGUUGUAAACUUCUUUUAAGGGGGAAGAGCAGAAGACGGUACCCCUUGAAUAAGCCACGGCUAACUACGUGCCAGCAGCCGCGGUAAUACGGAAGGUCCGGGCGUUAUCCGGAUUUAUUGGGUUUAAAGGGAGCGUAGGCCGGCUUUUAAGUCAGCUGUGAAAGUCCGCGGCUCAACCGUGGAAUUGCAGUUGAAACUGGAGGCCUUGAGUGCACACAGGGAUGCCGGAAUUCAUGGUGUAGCGGUGAAAUGCUUAGAUAUCAUGAAGAACUCCGAUCGCGAAGGCAAGUGUCCGGGGUGCAACUGACGCUGAGGCUCGAAAGUGCGGGUAUCAAACAGGAUUAGAUACCCCAGUA
rnacentral:rRNA from 1 species